GACGAACGCUGGCGGCGUGCUUAACACAUGCCAGUCGAACGGAAAGGCCCUGCUUUUGUGGGGUGCUCGAGUGGCGAACGGGUGAUUAACACGUGAGUAACCUGCCCUUGACUUUGAGAUAACUUCAGGAAACUGGGGCUAAUACCGGAUAGGAGCUCCUGCUCCAUGGUGGGGGUUGGAAAGUUUCGGCGGGUGGGGCUGUGCUCGCGGCUUCUCAGCUUGUUGUUAGGGGAGUGGCUGACCAAGGCUUUGACGGGUAGCCGGCCUGCGGGGGGGACCGGCCACAAUGGGACUGCGGGACGGCCCAGACGCCUACGGGGGGCAGCAGGGGGGAAUAUUUCACAAUGGGGGGAAGCCUGAUGCAGCAACGCUGCGGGCGGGAGGACGGCCUUCGGGGUGUAAACCGCUUCCGCCUGUGACGAAGCGUGAGUGACGGUAACGGGUAAAGAAGCACCGGCUAACUACGUG
rnacentral:rRNA from 1 species